rnacentral:rRNA from 1 species
GACAGAGGUGCCGAGCGUUAGGCGGAAUCACUGGGCUUAAAGCGUGUGUAGGCGGGUCGUUAAGUGGCUUGUGAAAUCCCACCGCUCAACGGUGGAACUGCUGGGCAUACUGGCGAUCUUGAGCCACCUAGGGGCAGACGGAACAAGCGGUGGAGCGGUGAAAUGCGUAGAUAUCAGGAGGAACACCGGUGGCGAAGGCGGGUCUCUGGGCAGUAACUGACGCUGAGGAGCGAAAGCGUGGGGAGCGAACAGG